rnacentral:lncRNA from 1 species
UUCGGCCAGCAAUGCUAUCGUGUCAGGAUGAUCUGGGAAUUCUAUCAAACGCUGGAUAAGCAGAUUUCUUUGGUGAAUAACCCCAUCCAACUCGUUGAUGUGUUCUCUGUAGUAAUUCCCAUCAUCUUCUCCGAAUACCUCUUCAAGUCUGGACUUCUUCAAACCUGCCAACACCUUAAGUUCUUCAAUCUGUCCUCGAGCCUCAUUGAGUUGAUCGGUGAUGUAACCAUUGGUAGAACGGGCACACAGAAGCUCAU